rnacentral:tRNA from 1 species
CAGGGAGACAACAAAAUGUUUAAUAUUAUUAUUUUGUCACCUUAGGUCGAUCGGUAUCUCGCAUUCUUAAUUUAUUGAGGAUUUCAUUUCCUAAGUUUUUCUAGGUCACACCCAUUAUUUUCCUGGGCCAUUAGCUCAGGUGGUUAGAGCGCACCCCUGAUAAGGGUGAGGUCCCUGGUUCAAGUCCAGGAUGGCCCAUAUCUCUAUGUUGGGGGUAUAGCUCAGUUGGUAGAGCGCCUGCUUUGCAAGCAGGAUGUCAGCGGUUCGAGUCCGCUUACCUCCACUGAUUACCACCUCUUCCAUUAUUUGUAGAAAGGAAAAUUUUUGUUGUGAUCAUAAUUCUGAACGAAUCUAGCUUCCUAAUGAAACCAUUAAGAUGCUGGACUCAUUGAAUUAAUUUCAUUGUUUUCAGAGAACCUUGACAACUGCAUAGAUUAUUUUUAAAGACAAUAAGCAUCAUUAAUGAUGCAGAUUUAUUAUUUGUGCAAAUGCAUUAAUAACAAUUCUAUUAAGCUGAUGCUUCAAUUUUGAAGUUAUU